CAUGCUGGCGCUGCUGGCCCGGGAGCCGGGCAUGGAGUGGCUGGAGCCGAGCCUCGCUGGGCAGAGGGUCACCUCCCCGCCUCGCAGCCCAGAAGCACCGCGGAGCGGAAGCGACAUCAGUUAUCAUCGGAAGCAUUGCUUGGGACCUUGGCCUCUGAAGACUUUGUCGUUGCUGGAGCACUCAGGGGACAGUAGGCUUUGGCAAGCCUACCUCGAAGGACUGAAGAAAUUCUUUGUCUUCAGGGAAAGCAUGGGAAUGCCUGCAACCUGGCCAAUUCCAGUGGACCAGAUUAGAGGGUUUUUGGCUGUGGAAUCUGAUUAUUCCUCCUCGAAGACUCUCACAUACAUGGCAGCACUUUCUUAUUUAUCAAAAUUGACUGGUAAUUCUGAUCCUCUGGAAGAUCCUAUAACCUGUUGCAUGGUGAUGGGGUUGAAACGUCGAGUGGGUAUCCUGAGGGAUAAAUAUUUGCCUGUAACAAUUGAGAUGUUGCGAUCUCUCUUAGGAGUUCUGGAGUCUGCAUGCAUAACUCGCUAUGAAUGCUUACUGUUUCGUGCCCUAUUUACUGUAGCUUUUUUUGGGGCACUUCGAAUAGGAGAGAUGGUGGCAAAACACCGUAAUGUACUGCAGCCUGAGCUGCUGUACCUGAGUGAUCUCCAGCUGAUGGAGAGGAAAGUGCUGCUUUUUCUACCUUAUUCUCCUGUAGAUCAGGAGAGACAUGUCAUCAGCCUAGCGCUGUCUGGAGAGCCAUGGGUGUGCCCUGUUCUGGCCCUCCGGAGCUAUUUGACUGUUCGUCCACGGCCGGAAGGGCCACUCUUUGUGCACUCGGACUUCAGGACCGUAACGAAGAGGGAGUUCCUGGCGGUUCUCAGACGUGCCCUGUGCCUGCUGGGGCUGUCUCCGGAGCAGUACGGCGUGCAUUCCUUCUGGCUGGGGACUGCUGUCACCGCUGUGCGCUGCGGGUAUCCUGGGGAAGAUGUCACUCGCCUGGCAAGAUGGCCCUGUAUGAUCCCAGAAAGAUUCUUACCAAGCGGACCAAUACGAGAAUAGAAGCUAAAGAAUCAUCUUCUUUAUGUAGAGUCAAAUUUAGCUGUAUAGUUUCUAGCCUUUCACAGGAAUUUAGUAUUAACACCUGAAAUUAAUUUUCUACCUCACAGUGGGAUCAUCCUAAAUUCACUCACAACUUGUUUGUUCUGUCUGUAUUUGAAGGUAGGGGGAAUGUCAAACCUUUGUACAUAGACUUCAUUUUUAUCUUGUAUAGUAUCUUUAUUUUAUUGAUAUAAUAAAUAUUGCC
rnacentral:lncRNA from 1 species